AAUAAAUUGAUUGGUGGGUUGCCAUGUCUAACUUUAGAACGUCCAUCUUAUAUGAACUUUUUUUAUGAUUAAUAUUUUUAUUUUUAUUAUAUGAUAAAACAUGAAUAAUACUUUAUAUGUGACUUAUUUUUUAAUUUUUUUAUAAUUUUUUCAAAUAAAAUGACCUAUGAAAGAUUGUACAUGAAAACCCACGAAUCAACUUAUU
rnacentral:pre_miRNA from 1 species